rnacentral:rRNA from 1 species
AAGUCGAACGAAGUAGCAAUACUUAGUGGCAGACGGGUGAGUAACAUGUAGGUAUCUGCCCUUUGGCCUGGAAUAACACGAGGAAACUUGUGCUAAUACCGGAUAAGUCUUUACGGAGAAAGCUUUAUGCACCAUUGGAUGAGCCUGCACUUGAUUAGUUUGUUGGUGGGGUAAUGGCCUACCAAGACUGUGAUCAAUAGCUGAUUUGAGAGGAUGAUCAGCCACAUUGGGACUGAGACACGGCCCAAACUCCUACGGGAGGCAGCAGUGGGGAAUCUUGCACAAUGGAGGAAACUCUGAUGCAGCGAUGCCGCGUGAGUGAAGAAGGCCCUUGGGUUGUAAAGCUCUUUCGUCGGGGAAGAAAAUGACUGUACCCGAAUAAGAAGGUCCGGCUAACUUCGUGCCAGCAGCCGCGGUAAUACGAAGGGACCUAGCGUAGUUCGGAAUUACUGGGCUUAAAGAGUUCGUAGGUGGUUGAAAAAGUUAGUGGUGAAAUCCCAGAGCUUAACUCUGGAACUGCCAUUAAAACUUUUCAGCUAGAGUAUGAUAGAGGAAAGCAGAAUUUCUAGUGUAGAGGUGAAAUUCGUAGAUAUUAGAAAGAAUACCAAUUGCGAAGGCAGCUUUCUGGAUCAUUACUGACACUGAGGAACGAAAGCAUGGGUAGCGAAGAGGAUUAGAUACCCUCGUAGUCCAUGCCGUAAACGAUGUGUGUUAGACGUUGGAAAUUUAUUUUCAGUGUCGCAGGAAAACCGAUAAACACACCGCCUGGGGAGUACGACCGCAAGGUUAAAACUCAAUGA